rnacentral:rRNA from 1 species
GAUGAACGCUAGCGGCAGGCCUAAUACAUGCAAGCUGAACGGUAAAUGUUGUAGCAAUACAAUAUGAGAGUAGCGUAAGGGUGCGUAACACGUAUGCAAUCUACCCGCAACUGGAGGAUAGCUCCCCGAAAGGGGAAUUAAUACUCCAUAAGAUCACGAGAGGGCAUCUGAUUGUGAUUAAACUCCAAGGGGUUGCGGAUGAGCAUGCGUCUGAUUAGUUAGUUGGUGAGGUAACGGCUCACCAAGACGAUGAUCAGUAGGGGAACUGAGAGGUUGA